rnacentral:rRNA from 1 species
AUUGAACGCUGGCGGCAGGCCUAACACAUGCAAGUCGAGCGAGCGGCGGACGGGUGAGUAAUGUAUGGGGAACUGCCCGAUAGCGGGGGAUAACUACUGGAAACGGUAGCUAAUACCGCAUACUCUCGGAUGUACCCACAGGGGAUUAGCUAGUAGGUAGGGUAACGGCGCACCUAGGCGACGAUCCCUCGCUGGUCUGAGAGGAUGAUCAGCAACACUGGAACGGAGACACGGCCCAGACUCCUACGGGAGGCAGCAGUGGGGAAUAUUGCACAAUGGGCGCAAGCCUGAUGCAGCCAUGCCGCGUGUAUGAAGAAGGCCUUCGGGUUGUAAAGUACUUUCAGUGGGGAGGCGUUACCCGCAGAAGAAGCACCGGCUAACUCCGUGCCAGCAGCCGCGGUAAUAC